rnacentral:rRNA from 1 species
AACGAACGCUGGCGGCAUGCCUAACACAUGCAAGUCGAACGAGACCUUCGGGUCUAGUGGCGCACGGGUGCGUAACGCGUGGGAACCUGCCCUUAGGUUCGGAAUAACUCCCCGACAGGGGUGCUAAUACCGGAUAAUGUCUUCGGACCAAAGAUUUAUCGCCUUUGGAUGGGCCCGCGUUGGAUUAGCUAGUUGGUAGGGUAAAAGCCUACCAAGGCGACGAUCCAUAGCUGGUCUGAGAGGAUGAUCAGCCACACUGGGACUGAGACACGGCCCAGACUCCUACGGGAUGCAGCAGUGGGUAAUAUUGGACAAUGGGCGAAAGCCUGAUCCAGCAAUGCCGCGUGAGUGAUGAAGGCCUUAGGGUUGUAAAGCUCUUUUACCCGGGAUGAUAAUGACAGUACCGGGAGAAUAAGCUCCGGCUAACUCCGUG